rnacentral:rRNA from 1 species
GUAGGUGGCAAGCGUUGUCCGGAAUUAUUGGGCGUAAAGCGCGCGCAGGCGGUUCUUUAACGUCUGAUGUGAAAGCCCACGGCGUCAACCUCGGAGGGGUCGAUUGGAAACUGGAGGAACUUGAGUACAGAAGAGGAAAGCGGAAUUCCACGUGUAGCGGUGAAAUGCGUAGAGAUGUGGAGGAACACCAGUGGCGAAGGCGGCUUUCUGGUCUGUAACUGACGCUGAGGCGCGAAAGCGUGGGGAGCAAACAGGGAUUAGAUACCCUGGUAGUCCACGCCGUAAACGAUGAGUGCUAAGUGUUAGGGGGGGUUUUCCGCCCCCUUAGUGCUGCAGCUAACGCAUUAAGCACUCCGCCGUGGGGAGUACCGGCCGCAAGGCUAG